rnacentral:rRNA from 1 species
UACGUAGGGCGCAAGCGUUGUCCGGAAUUAUUGGGCGUAAAGAGCUCGUAGGCGGCUUGUCCCGUCGGAUGUGAAAGCCCGGGGCUUAACCCCGGGUCUGCAUUCGAUACGGGCUAGCUAGAGUGUGGUAGGGGAGAUCGGAAUUCCUGGUGUAGCGGUGAAAUGCGCAGAUAUCAGGAGGAACACCGGUGGCGAAGGCGGAUCUCUGGGCCAUUACUGACGCUGAGGAGCGAAAGCGUGGGGAGCGAACAGG